UUAUUUUUGCUGAAUAGUGCAUAUAGGCAUUUCCCAUUUGAAUGGUUUUACAGUAGUAAUUUUAGGGCCCUUUUUAGCUUGUUGUUCGGUGUGAGCCAAGGCUCCGUGUUGAAGGCCGUACAUUGACCUAUAAUGGUUUACUUUUAUAAUUUGUUAUUUGGAUGGAGAGUUGUCUCAUUGGCACUAACACCACAUCUUCCUAUAUCUAUGUAAAAUAUCUUUUAAAGAUUUCAGGUAUAUGAAAUAUUAACCAGUAGGACAGUAUAAAUUCUGCCCCUCCUUCCAUGCAAAAAAAAACAAAUUAUGUGAUUUAUUGUUGAAUUUUAUUGCCACAUUCAGUAUUGGCUAGGUGUUGUGGCCAGGUUUUAUUGGUGGUGGAUACAUUUAAUAUCU
rnacentral:lncRNA from 1 species